GGGUCCAGGGAGAGGAAUCCAUUGACACACGGAAAUUUCCCAUUUUUCUUUGUGCGUGAUGGUCCCGGUGAUGCCGCCCAGGUAUCGGCUAUAAUGGAACAGAUGUCCGCUUUAAUGGAACCACCUCCACCAACAACAGCUGCUGCAGCGGCAGCAGCAGCUGCGGCAGAAUCUAGUAACUUCUGGAGUGAGUUGAAUUUUUCCUUUAUUAUUAUUAUUAUUAUUAUUAUUAUUAUUAUUAUUGUUAUUCUUAUUAUUGUUGUUAUUGUUAUUAUUAUUAUUAUUAUUAUUAUUAUUAUUAUUAUUAUUAUUAAUAUUAUUAUUAUUAUUAUUAUUAUUAUUAUUAUUAUUAUUAUUAUUAUUAUUAUUAUUUUAUUGUCAUUUAUCGCCGUCAGCUUGGCAAGCCAUGCUUGACCCCGCUCCGUACAUUUUGUAAAUGAAACUACGGACAACUGUUUUGUCCAGUUUUGGAACUUAUACUUUUGGAGAGAAAGUAGUUUUCUACUGCUAGGUGAGUUUCUUUUCGUACGUUGUCCCCUAGUCUUGGAGGAAACCUCGGUUUAAUUGUGUGCUAUGAAAUUUUUCUAUUUUCCAUAAAAAUUUCUAUCUAUGCAGUGACGCUUGUAAGUGAGAGGCGGGAGAGUGAGGAGCGUCAUCAAGACGUAGAGAAAGAGGGAGGGAGUGCGGCGCGCUAAUGUCGCCCCGUUGAAAAAAACAGAUGACAGCCUGUUUUUAACAAGAGUGACGUUGAAAUUGUUCACAAGGCGGAAUAUUUCAAUAAGGAAUUCUUGAAAAACAGUUCUAUCUAUCAACAAUAAUUGUAGCAACAACAACUCCCAGCUGGAAGUGUAACAAACUAGCAACAUACAUAAUAACAAGAGAAACAGAAGCAGAACAUUUUUAACAGAGAAAAUAAAUCCAUUCCUUCAUUACAAGCAGCAACAACAACAACAACAACAGCAACAAAAACAACAACAUAUCCAACGCAUCUUUCGCCAAAUUUGCUGAAGACAGAUGGGUGGAGCACUCCUUUAACAAUGAUUUUGGUAAAAAUUUCCGAAAAUGACUGGUAAAACCAAAUUUUUUUCGUUCUAUCAUCAGGCAAAAAAGAUCUGAUCACAAAAAGAACAGUUCUCUAUAGUUGUCACAAUAAGAAGACCUGGUAGAUUGAAAAUCCUACUCCAGCACAGAAAGGAAAAUGCCUAAAAGAUGUCUGGGGUUCAAAUUGCCACGUGAAGUGAGUAAGCUAUUUGGAUCUUUCGUUGCUAUAUGCCAUAGCGAAGAGACAUCGAAAAAGAUGGCCUUGCACACUUGCUCCUCAGAUGAAUAUAUUUUCAUCCUAUCUUAUUUGGAGUGGAAGGAGUAGUGAAAAAGGUUACUUUUUCAAAUGUGCUUCCAGAGCUUAACAUUCAGUAUUUCUGGAUGAUGCUGGAUGAGUAUGGUGAUAUUUUAAAUUGGAAAUCCAUCCCGAAAGAAAAUAUAUCGGUGGUCCAGGUGGAAGUGGAAAUGCUGGUGACUGCAGAGAACUUUCAUAGGUUCCCUGACAUAAUUUACAUGGAAGGCGUGGAGCCCAUAAGAGAUGUGACUGAGGGCAAAAAAGCUUAAGUGUUACAUCUGCAGAAGUACAAUCCAUCAAAAGGCUUUCUGUCCUCAAUUAAAUAAACUGAAACCAGCCUUGUUGACAACUCCACAUCCACAUUUACAACAACCCUAUGAGCAGGUCAGGACCCCUACACCAAAACCUCGUCAACGGAAGAUUUCCCCUUGCUCCUACAGAAGAGCAUUCUCUUCCCAAACUUCUGGUCCCGCAAGUCAACAACAACGACUCAAGUUCUUCUUUCGACCAAAUUUCUCCACCUCCUACCGAUUCUUUUGGAAAUCACUCGGAGAAGAAAGAUCAGACAGAGGUAUAGCAAACAGUAACCAAAUGGGCAAUACGAAAAGGAGCGGGGUACAGAAGCCCACUCUGAGAACUCAAAAAAACCAACUACAAACACAAAGAUCAUAUAUACAGCCCAUUUCACAUCCACUCCAACGAUGACAACAUUAACAUCAUCAACAACAAAAACAACAGCAGCAGCAACAUCGACAACAACAGCAACAUAAUCAUCAACAACAACAACAACAACAGCAGUAGCAGCAGCAGCAACAACAACAACAACAGCAACAACAAAACACAGACACUAAAACUGUUAAAAGAAAACAAUUUAAUCGGUACACACAAUGUUUCCAUCAAUUUUACUGUUGUGAACAAAAGCAACAAUGACUUUUACCUAAUUUUACCUAAUUGAAAAUAAAAAGUAAAAUCCAGAGAAGUGGGAGGUAUUUGAUAAUUUCAUCCUCAAACCUGAAUGACAGAUUUUACAAUAACAGGAGAAAAUUUUUAACAAGGAAAAUGAAAUCAUGUCCUCUACUACAAGCAACAACAACAACAACAACAACAGUGUCUACCAACGCUACUUCGAAGCCGUUCUAAAAGCGGCCGGUUUCAGACCCCCUUUCAGAGGCUGGCCCGCUGCAGUGUACAACGGUAUCUGCUCAGUGGUCAAAGUAAACGGUCAACCUAUCGCCAUCGUUUUGCAUUGCACGCUCAGUCCAUCAGGGCUUCUCGCUUUCAUCUCUUCUCUACGUGCUGGCUCUCGAGCCUCUGCUGCGGAAGUUGGAACAGUUGAAGGGCAUUUCUUUCGAACUAGGGACACUAGGAUAGUGUCGGCUUACGCAGACGAUGUCACUGUCAUAAUGUCGGACAACUCCGAAGCAGUGACAGUCGAUUCCAUUGUAAACGAAUAUGAGUCGGUUGCAUGGGCCAAAAUCAACGCCGACAAGUCGGUGGGAUUGCAGCUGAGCACCUGGUGAGGCAGGUUGAUGUCGUCAGACGGCGUCUUUGGACGCUGGAUUGACGGACUAGUUUAACUGCUCGAGGUCUAGUUCGGUCCUGACCUCUAAAUGGAUAAGAAUUGGGACGAGGUGACGAACAGGAUAGCCAGUCUUAUCUAGAAAUAGUCAGAGAUGUUAGGCAGAGGUGACGAAUGCCCACUUCGUCUCCGUUAUCAUUUGUCACCUGACCAUCUUGCUGGAACGUCUCUUAUUUUCAUGUGGAAGGGAGUGUUCCAAUGAUCCGGCAGUAGUCUACUGCCAUCAUACACUGCGUGGCCGCUUAGGAAUGCCGGGGCUUCUGAUGCACAGACAUGCACUCAAGUUUCGUCACCUGCAAAGAUUUCACGACGAUGAACGUGUGUGGGCUCCGUUCGUGUGGCAUGUUUUUCGGCAGCUUGUUUCUUUGACAGAGUUUCAGUCAUGGGUGAAAAAUAGAUCGAGAAUGGGUGCCCGGAACCCAGAAAGUCAUCAGGUGCUCACAACCCUCUACCAGUCGGGUUGUGAAAUCUGUAGAUGUUCCACUUUAGCAAUAUAAGUAGCGAGAAAGUGCGGCGAAGUUCUCGGGGAGACUCUAGGCGUCGACGAAAAUGAACUGGCUAGUCUCUUCCGGAAGACUUCCCGGUUGGGCACUACCAUGAGUAAUUUCCAGAUGUCGUUGUCCUGACAGAGCGACCGAAUGGGCUACGGGUUCAAGAUAAACUCUACGGUCACGAGUGUGUUGUCACACGGGCUUGUCCGAAAGGCACGUAAUGCAACGUAGCCGUUCUGUAGGGCCUCUGACUUAAGGAGUUUUGUCGAACAGCUGUUAUUGCGUGUAGGGCGGUCCAAUUAUCAGUUGAGCCCGUUGUGAUUGCCCCGCCGCCUUCUUUUGGACAGGAAAGGAAGGUGCUGUCUGGCGAUGUGGCGAAAGAGGUAAUGUGGUGGACGAAGGUGAAAAGACUGAAGACAAACACUUUCUUAGGCCAAGACUUUAUCGAAAUUUUCAGGUUCCACUUAAAGAGGAAAAUGAAUGGGGAGAUGGAAGUGCUAACCCCCAGUAUUUUUUAUGAAAGAUGGGUGACUGUGGCGAGGAAGACACAUGUGAAUGGGUCGAUUCUAAGCAUGCGCCUGUUAGCCCAAGGGAAUGGAGAGGAGAGGAGAGGAGUGCCCUCGAUGUUCGGAGUGUUUAGGAUGAUAGGGGUUCCUUGAUUGCCCCUUGGGGGAGCUUCCUUCUUUUGGGGGAAUUUUAUUAUUUGAAAAUUUUAAUUGUUUUUGUUUUAUUUUUUUUUACUGUUUACAUGCACUGUAUGUGAAUCUUCACUUUCCUUUGUGUUGUAUCGACCUUUGUUUUGUGUGCAGACCUUGAGGCCGAUAAAGAAAGAAUUGCCAUUAUGAUUAUAAUUCUAUUUUUAUUAUUGUUAUUAUUAUCAUUGUCAAAAAUAUUAAACGUAAAUUUAUAAUAGACAUUGUAAUCAGCAAUUUGAGACCUAAUAAAAAACACACUGGUCAUGUAGUUGUGCUCUUCUCUCUUUUCCCUUAAAUUAUUAUAUAUUCGCUAUCGAAUUAUUAUUGUUAUUAUCAUUAUUGAGUGAGAGAUCAGUGCAUACCAUCAAAGUGACACUACGGUAAAAUAUACGAAGCCCAGUAUACCCAUCAUGAUUACUUGUCUGAUAAGGGUACACCAAGCACGUGCAUUACAACCAUAUGCGUGCAACUUAGUGAUCUCAUAUCAAGAUAAACAGCGCAUGACCUAGCUGGUGGGGCCCAGUUGAAAUUUUCUUCAAAUCGAGUAUCCCACCCCACCCAAAAGGUCCCUGAAUAAGGGUACUUUAAGGACGAUGAACAAAAUAUCCAUGUUUCCUUAGGUAAAUUAUCCAAACCUCAAAGAAUUCCUCUCGUCACAUAGCUAUGUUGCUCCCCCACUACUUCUGGUCGUGAUUAGAGAUGCACAUGUCAUCAGCCACAAAGGGACAUACUCAACUGGUUAAGGUCAAGCAACUGACAAGCAAAUCUGUGAUAUUGAGCAGAAUAUUUGCUGUAGCCUAUGUACAUGAUAACACUUCCAAUCAGUUAAGAUCAGGAGCCAUGAGUGCCAAUGCCUGGCACUGCAUCAGGGCAUAUAAUAAUAAUAAUAAUAAUAAUAAUAAUAAUAAUAAUAAUAAUAAUAAUAAUAAUAAUAAUAAUAAUAAUAAUUCUUACUAUUCAUUUAAUUAUUUAAUUAUUUUCGAUUUGUGAGUAUGAUGUAGGGGGCCAUUGUAUAAAUAUAUGUGUUAGCACUCAUGGCCCCGUUUGUAGUCUUUGUGAUUCUUUCAAGUGGUAUUUUUUUUCAUAUCUAUUAUAAUCAGAUGGUCCCCGAUUGAUUUCCACUCAUAUGUGUGUGUGUGUGUGUGUAUACAUGUAUAUAUAUAUAUAUAUAUAUAUAUAUAUAUAUAUACACACACAAACAGCAGUUUGCAGUGUUUCACAAAAAUGUGACAUACCACCCUCAUACAGAAAGUGCUUUGCUGUAUAUGGGUAUAUAUAUGUAUAUAUAUAUAUAUAUAUAUAUAUAUAUAUAUAUAUAUAUAGUAUUGUUGAGUCCCUGUAAGUUCUAAAGUAAGGUAUAUUGUAUACGGGUAUAUUAUAAAGAGGUAUAUCACAUACGGGUAUAUUGAAUACUAUUUUAUAAAACUUAGUGUGUUUAAAGGAUGAAAUAUUAGAUACAUAUAUGAAGAAGUAAAAAAGGCAAUGCUAUAUUUAAACUACACGAUUCCAGCACGCUCACUCACACACACGUCUGUGUAUAAGUGCGCGCUAAUGAGGUACACACAUGCAGUUAUAUAAUAGUGCAGUUAACAUGAGAAUUAUAAUUACCACCAGCAUUAACUCUAUUACUCAAUCCUUAAAUCCUCAUUUUACAGUAAUAAUGUCUGCUGGAUGCUGUGUGUAGUCAUAGCAACAGUACUCAAUCAAUUUCUCGCUGAUACUAAAAAAUGGAUGCCUUUUUUCUUCUCCUCCCACUCCAUCAUCAGUUGUAAACAUAUAUAACACCUAUAAGCAUGUAUAUGUAUACAUACGCAUUCAAGCAUUUAUAAACCUGUGAGUAUAUAAGGCCUUUAAGUAUGCGUGUGUGUGUGUUAUGUACAGUGGGUGGUGUAAAACAGGGUGUGAUUUCAAACUUAAUUAUACAACAUUAAAAGCAACAGCCUCUACCUACUUGUAAUUACCGUCCCGAAACUUCAAACGGCCACUGUAAUUAAAAAAUGCGUUAUCUUCAUUUCCAGGCGGUAAUUGAUUCAAGUAGUUAUCAAUUGAUGAUCACAUGUGGAUGCCUUCACGUAGUUAUGUGUGCAGACCUAACGGCGUGUGUAUGCGUUUGUAUUUGUAUAUAAAUAUAUACAUUUGUGUGUGAGUGCGUGUGUGAGUGUGUGUGUUUGUGUACAUAUUUGUGCGUGUGUGUGUGUGUGUAUGCAUGUAUUCAGACGUACAUGAACACGUUCUCCUAAACUGUAUUGAAUACUUCGGGUAAUUGCAUUUCCUCGUAUUUCCAUAUUAAUGUUAAACCUCCUUUCACUAAGUAUCCACACGCCCGUUCGCAUACAUAUUACAGACAUAUAUAUAUAUACGCGCGCGCGCACACACACACAUACACAUACACGCACAUACACAAACAUAUCUUAAGCGUAUACUAAGCGUAUAAAAAAAAACAUUUAAGGUUUAUGUGAAUUAGCAUACAAAAAACAAAAAAAGUCUUUAAAAACAAUUCGGAAUAUUUGACAGGCCUUGCUGCUCUAGACUGAUGAUGGGCAAGACCCUGAAACAUGCGUGUCUCUAGAUGCAGGCCUAGCUGUUGGGGGUGUUUGUCUCCCCUUCGUAAAUAUAUAAGGACACAGGAAAUGUGUCAAGGCCGACAGGAAGCGUCGAUGCUUCCUAGGGCUAAAUAGCGGUGGUGCAAUUCCCUUACGGGACUGUCACGUUAAGUUGACAGUAUACAACCACUCAAUCGCUCCACCACAGCACAUAUCUCUAUGAGAUAUUUAGAAAUUUAAUAUAAUAUAUAUAUAUAUAACCAAGGCUAUAGAUGAAAUGAAAACAGACUCAGCUACUGGCCCCGAUGGAUUCCCGGCAAUCCUCCUAAAAGCAUGUAAGAGAGUCCUAGCAAGACCACUGCAGUUCCUCUUUCAGAGCUUCCUUGCAGCUGGCAAACUUCCAGGAAAACUGAAGGAAGGUAAAAUAUGCCCCAUUCAUAAAGGAGGUAGCAGAGCGGAAGCCAAGAACUAUAGACCUAUCUCUCUGACCUCACACAUCAGCAAGGUCAUGGAACGAAUAGUCAGAAGGAAGCUGAUCACCUUCCUUGAAGAGAAUGACUUGCUGCCCGACACCCAACAUGGUUUCCGACCAGGGAGAAGCUGUUUAACUCAGCUCCUACAACACUAUGACUGGGUGCUGAAACGGCUGCUCAACCACUCAAAUGUGGAAGUGAUAUAUCUCGACUUUGCAAAGGCCUUUGAUAAAGUCGAUCAUGGAAUGAUAUGUCACAAACUGCGUGAUCUCAACAUAGUUGGAAAACUGGGAGAAUGGCUUCAUGACUUUCUGAAGGAUAGAAGUCAGGUGGUAGUAGCCAAUGGGGCCACCUCCAUUAACACACAAAUAGUGAGCGGUGUUCCGCAGGGCACUGUUCUGGGACCACUACUGUUCAUAAUGGCCCUCUCAGACAUGCCCUCAGCCACGCAGAGAGCCACGAUCACAAGUUAUGCAGAUGAUACAAAAGUUUCACAGGCAAUACAGAACCCUGAGGACACUAAACACCUGCAAUGUGAGCUGGACGAAAUAUACAAGUGGGCUGAAAAGAAUAGCAUGCAGUUCAAUGCUGGAAAGUUUCAAGCUUUAUACUAUCAGCAUGCAAAACUGAAUGCAAUACCCAAUGAAUACACUGGACCCGGAGGGAUUGCAAUCCCAGAGGCACAAUCAGUGCGUGACCUGGGUAUUCACAUGAGUGAUGACGCGACCUUUCAUGUACAUGUUGCUAAACUGACAAUGAAAUGUAGACGGCUGGCUGGAUGGAUUCUUAGAACCUUUAGAACAAGAGAACAAGAAACCAUGAUGGUCCUCUGGAAGACACUUGUCCUAAGCCACUUUGACUAUUGCUCUCAGCUAUGGUCACCAUCCAGUGUCAAGUUGAUCACAGAACUUGAGGCGAUCCAACGAAGCUACACAAAGAAGAUAGCCUCUAUGCAGAAUGUAAGCUACUGGGAAAGACUCAAGAGAUUAAAAUUAUAUUCCCUGGAGCGUAGGCGGGAAAGAUAUGCCAUAAUAUACAUCUGGAAGAUCCUGGAGGGAAGUGUCCUGAACUUUAGCAUCGAGAGUUACGCAAAUGCCAGAACUGGGCGCCACUGCGUGGUGCCUAGGACUCCAAACCUGCCAUCAAGAUGUAGGACAAGAUUCUGUGAUAGCCUGGGCUUCCGAGGCCCACAGCUCUUCAAUAUCCUCCCGAAGAACCUGAGAGACCUGCAUGGGGUGGAUACAGAUGUCUUUAAAAUGAAGCUGGAUCUCUUCCUGUCAGGUGUCCCAGAUGAACCAACUUCACGGCAGGAGGGGCAGAUGAGGGCAGCUGCAUCGAACUCUCUCAUGCACCAAAUAGCAGUUGCUAGAAAGCCUCCAUGAAGUGAAACCAAGUAGCAACACCAAAUGGCGGUGCCCCAGCAUGGCCACAGCUCAUAAGCUGAAACUAGAAUCAAUCAAUCAAUCAAUCAAUCAAUCAUAUACGACGAGCUUCUUUCAGUUUCUGUCUACCAACACUGUUCAAGGUGCCACACAGUACAUCUGAAUCCAGAAAAAUAUGGUUGGGAAGCGCAAUGACCUUCCUAAUCACACAAAAUGUUUGCAUCAUGAUUUUUGAAUCGGCUUUCUCUCUUAAGAUGUAAUACAAAAUCGACUCCAGUUUAAUUUGAACUUAAAAGAUAUAGGACUAAUGAUAACACUAGCUAAGGAUAGCACGAUCAUUCAUUGGACACUUGUCGGAUUGUCCCAAUCAACAUCUUCCUUUAAAAGAGUCCUUCUCAAAAGUUGUUAACUACUGCACCUCUCCUUUUCCCAACACAUUCCCCCCUUCCCACCGCCACUACCAUAUACAUAAACGUGAUAUCAAAACGAAGUAAUUCAGUUUCUGAACUAGUUUGGUGCGAAUACUACUUAUUCCAGCACCGCUCUACUAUUGAGUUUUACACACACACACACACACACCCCCACACACACACACACACAUUGCACAUACACGCACACACGCACGCGCACACACGCACUCACGCACACACACGCGCGCGCGCGCGCGCACACACACACGCACACACACACACACACACACACACACACACACACAGAUAUUUCCCAGUUAAAAUUUCUUUAUAUUUCAGUUUAUGGGUGUAUUUUCUAUAUCUUCACGCACAUACAUACGCAUUUACAGUCGUUCAUUUUUCUGCCAACAUGUGAGUUUACACUUGUUUGUUUACAAACAUGGUUGAUUACAUUGAUAACUAGAAUUAAUAAUAUAUAACCAUGUACAUGUGCAUAUAUGUAUGCACCCAUAAGUCAGGGACAUUGUCUAGAGCUACAUUUGCAAUGGCCGUCUUCAUUGCUUGUAUGAGAAUACCCACAAUUGUGUACAGCAUCUUUCAAAUUAUACUUUAGUUUAUUGUUUUUAACUUACAUAUACAGGCGUCGUACAAUCAGUUUCGUUUAUUUGUUGUUUACUUGUCAAAGUUAAUGACUGUCGUUGUUGCGAUUAUUGACUAGUAAGCAGUUUAUCAUAAAAAGUUUAUUAACAUUAUUAUCUAAAUACGAGAGAAAUAACUAAAGGGUCUGUAUCAUCCGUACAACCAUCCUUGUCCCUUGUAUGUAUAUAAAACUUUCUAAUUGGGUGGUACCGCUAUCUUUUAUAAAAAGAAUUUUAAUAAAAGUUUGUAUUCUAAGUCCCAUCAAGUUCCAUAAACAGUCAUUUGGCAUGAUUCAAAAUUAUGACUUCGAAUUAUGAGACAAAGAGCCCCCCCCCCCACCACCACCACCACCACCACCAAAGAAAACCUUGACACAGUAGUCAGCUGAAGGCAUCGCAUUGAUUUUCAUUUUCGUAAGACUAAAGAACAAGUUAUGUAGUGUGAUGCUCCACUCGUUUUCCUAUCCAAAGCAAUUUAUUGAAAAUAACUAUUGACAAAGUUUUUGUCAUCGGAAAUCUAUGGAAUUGUUAACAUGGUAUGUGUGUGUGUGUGUGUGUGCGUGCGCGCGCAUGCAUGUGUGUGUAUGUGUGUGUGUAUGCAGAGAGAGAAAGAGACAGGUAGGCAGAUAGAUAGUUAGGGAAAUAGACCGACGGACAUACAGACAAACAGACAGACAGAUAAAUAGAUAGAUAGAUAGAUAGAUAGAUAGAUAGAUAGGUAGGUAGGUAGGUAGGUAGGUAGGUAGGUAGAUAGAUAGAUAGAUAGAUAGAUAGAUAGAUAGAUAGAUAGAUAGAUAGAUAGAUAGAUAUGUUUCUUUAUUAGCCACACAGGGCUGCACACAGACGGGACAAAAUUACAAGGUAGAGCUUUUCUUUUGUGGGUAAAAGAAGGGGGUUUGGUUUUCGAUCAAAAGGGAUCGUAAAAGGAAAGAAAGAGGACAAAAAUAGGGGAGGAUUUAAAAAGGGGGGAGGGAAGAAAAGGGGAGAGGAAAAAAAAAAGUUGAUCAAUAGGGAUCGUAAUCACAGAAAUGUCAAUAAGAAGUGUAAAGAGGAGGACAGGUGAGGUUUACCCGUGGAAAGAAAAGCCUACGGAAAAGACCACGGUAACCUCGGUCAAUGAAGCCACAUGUUAUAUUUCUUUUUUUUUUUUUGCAAAUAAGCAACUCUCUGUAUUAAUUUUUACGGUUCAUAGCAUCAUAGUCAAGGUGGCUUCGUCAUUCAUACGUGCCAUCCUUGCUACAUUCACCCAUCUUUUUUUAAAACAUUCACUAGACAGAACUUGCCUCUCUACUCUCACUUUCCUCUUCAAGUGAUACUUGAAGAGGUUGAUGAGAGAUUGACCAGAGAGGAAAGUGUUUGUCUCUAAUCCUUUCAGGCGCGUCCACCAGGUACAUUCUUUCGCUAUAGUCACAAGUAUGAUAAAAAUAGCUCUUCCUUCCCGUUUGAAGGAGGGAGGCGUGACAAUAUUAACGAUAGACUCGGCUGAUAAACCGACACGUCCCACACGUGACAGCAGUCGUUCGUCAUAAGCCCACAGGUUGGAAAUUGCUGGACACUGCACGAUUGCGUGCAGAGCGGUUUCGUCGCUCUGCCCGCAUCUCGGGCAGGUCGGCCCCGUGUUUCUCGAGCCAUGCCUAUAGAGCUUAUCCCGAACGGGUAGCGCUUCUCGGUAGCACCGCCAGGCCAGGGAUCUCUGGAAGUUGUCCAUAGGUCCCGGGCCGAAAGUCGUUUGAAACAGGCGGGUCAGGUAUUCCUCGUCGACGCCCAGGUUUGCCCCGAGCUCGUCGUCGUACCUCCCCUCCACUAAUCCCCUAUAGAAUGCUUUGGUUGUGUUGAAGUCACUCAAGGUCGACCCGGGACGGCAGAGUUGCUUGAGAGCAACGCGACACUCGCGGUGCCAUUCGCCCUUCCUCGGCCUCUUUUUGAUCCACGACUGCAGUUCGGUCAUGGAGACGAGUUGCGGGAAUGCGUGCUUCACAAACGGCGACCACACCUGUUCACCGUCGUCUACAUAGAGCCGGAGAUGUCGCAGUCUCAGCGCGUGUCUGCGCAUCAUCAACCACGGCAUGCCCAGCCCUCCUUUUAACGGGUGUUGACAGCAAAUGGAUCGCCUGACCAUCGGGACGCAUCCUUUCCACAAGAAGCGGAAGAGAAUGGGUUCUAGUUUGGUGAUGGUAGGGUCGGGACAAGGUACGACGGUCAGGCGGUAGUAGAUGAUGGACGCGAUGUACGUGUUCGCCACCUCCACCCGACCUUUUAGGGACAGUUUCCACUCGGCCCAUUGCUGGGCGAGAGUGACCACCCUACUCGUUAUCUCGAUAGAUAGAUAGAUAGAUAGAUAGAUAGAUAGAUAGAUAGAUAGAUAGAUAGAUAGAUAGAUAGAUAACUUUUUAUUGUGGCCACACAGGGCUAAACACAGAAUAAAAAUGGACGAAAUACAAUGUAGAGUUUUUUCUUUUCGAGGUGGGAUGGGUGGGACACAAAGAAAAAGAAACGUUCGAUCAAUAGGGAUCUGUGGGUUGUGUGGUGUAUAAAAAUAUAAUAUAUAAAUAAAGUUUACACUUUAGGUGUAGCCCUGGAAAGAAAAACCUACAAAAAAGACCAAGGUCACCUCAGACAGUUCGAAAAUGAACACAUGAGUAAGUCGCCUUACCUCUCGUUGUCUCUUUUGGUCACAGAUUUACGCUUAAAAUAGUCUUGUCUUUCAUACUGACCAUUUUUGCCACUUUUACCCACUUUUUAUUAAAACAUUCGUUCGACAAAGCCUUCCUCUCUAUUUUCAUCCUCCUUUUCAAGUGGUACUUGAAAAGGUUGACGAGAGACUGACCAGAGAGGAAGGUGUUUGUUUGCAGUCCUUUCAAACGCGUCCAGCACACACAUUCUUUCGCCAUAGCCAUCAGCGUAACGAAAACCGUUUUCCCUUCCCGUUUAAAGGAAGGUGGUGGAGCAAUAUUCACGAUAGACUCGGCCGAUAAGCGGGCUCGUCCUACACGCGACAACAGCUGUUCGACGAAGGUCCACAGCUCUGAAAUAUCUGGACACUGCACGAGUGCGUGCAGAACGGUUUCGUCGCUCUGACCGCAUCUCGGGCAGGUCGGUCCGGUGAUGGUUUUCGAACCGUGCCUGUAGCUCUUCUCUCGAACAGGUAGUGCGUCUCGAUAGCAUUGCCAAGCCAGGGAUUUCUGGGAGUUAUCCAUAGGCCCCGGCCCGAACGUUGUCCUGAACAGGCGGGUUAGGAAUUUCUCGUCCACGCCUAGGUUUGCCCCGAGUGUGUCGUCGGACCUCCCCUCCACUAGUCCUCUAUAGAACGCUUUAGUCGUUUGUAAGUUGCACAAGUUUGACCCCGGUCGGCAGAGUUGCUGUAGAGCUUGGCGACACUCUCGGUGCCAAUCGCCCAGUUUCGGUCUCUUCCUGAUCCACGUUUGCAGUUCGGUCAGUGUGACGAGCUGCGGGAAGGCGCGCUUCACAAAGGGCGCCCACACCUGUUCACCGUCAUCGAUGAAGUUCCGGAGAUGUCGCAGUCUCAGCGCAUGCCUACGCAUCAUCAACCACGGCAUGCCUAGUCCUCCAUUCAACGAAUAUUGACAGCAAAUGGACCUCCUCACCAUUGGAACGCCACCCUUCCACAGGAAGCGGAAGAGUAUGCGUUCCAGUUUGGUGAUGGUGGCGUCGGGACAGGGCACGACGGUCAGGCGGUAAUCGAUGACGGAUGCGAUGUACGCGUUCGCCACCUCCGCCCGACCUUUUAGAGACAGCUUUCUUUCGGCCCAUGUUUGGCUGAGAGCGACCACUCUACUCGUGAUCUCGUCCCAGUUCUUAUCCAUUUGGAGAUCCGGACUGAACCAGACCCCGAGUAAUUUAACCGGUCCGUCCGUCCAGCGUCCCACUACUGAGCCGCAGUCGGACGGCAUGGGCUUGCUUCUCCAGGUGCCGAGUAGCAAACCCACUGACUUUUCCGGGUUAAUCUUCGCUCCCGUCACCCUUUCGUAUUUUCUUAGUGUCUCGCCUAUCAUCUGGAUGUGUUUUUCACUCGACACUAUGACGGUGACAUCGUCCGCAUAUGCCGACACGCUCGUCCCGCAACCCAGUUCCCGUGGGAUGCCCCUCAGUGUCGCCAGCUUCCGCAGUAGUGGCUCGAGAGUCAAUACAUACAGAAGCGCCGACAGGGGACACCCCUGACGGACCGAACGCGUGAUGUCAAACGGGUUCGACAGGUGACCGUUCACCCGAAUCACCGAUCGGAUGCCGCUAUACAAGGCAGCGAUCCAACCGCGGAAGACGGGACCGAAGCCAGCCGCCCUGAGGACGGCCGCCAAGUACCGAUGGUCGACCCUAUCGAAGGCUUUAGACUGAUCCAAAUUGAUCAGCGCCCCACCCAUGCCAGGAUCCUUAACUACCCUGUCCAUAAUGUAGCGCAUCAGAUGGAGGUUGUCAUGUAUGGUUCUGCCCGGCACGGCGCAUGUUUGCUCCCUGUCGACCAGUUUACCAAUGACAAGCGCCAACCUCUCGGCUAUUACUUUGGCCAAAAUUUUCAAAUCUGCGUUGAGCAGAGAGAUGGGCUUGAAAUUAUCUAUAAAAUUCCCCUUGUUUGGGUCUUUCUUCAGCAACGUCACUGCACCUCGGCUCACGAAACCGGGGAUUCUCCCGUUUUGUUGCCAGUUGCAGUAGACUGAUGCCAAGAGGUCGCCAAACAAGUCUGGCAUUUGACAAUACAGCUCGUAGGGUAAACCAUCCAAACCAGGCGACUUAUCCCAUCCCGCACGUCAGCGGCUGUGAUGGGACUUUCACAACACUCCACUUCUCUUGCCGAGAGCCGCGGCAGGUCGGUCAGGUAGGCACUGAGAUCCAUCCCGCGUUCCGACCCACCACUCACACCAAACAGUCGAGCAAAGUGCUGUUGAAAGGCCUCACACAUCUUUUCGGAUUCGAGUAAACUGUAUCCCUGUUGAUCUAUUAGAGACCGAAUGGUGGCUCUGUUGCCAUGCUGUGCCUCUGCUACCCGGGCCUCUCGCGCAGCUUCGAUCCCUUCGUUCCUUAAGGCACCCAUUUUAGCUCUGACGACGCAACCUUCGUGCUUGGCGUUGAGGUGUUGGUCGAGGGCCAUCCUCGCAGCCAGCACGCUGCCAGUGGUAAGUGCCUCUUCUAGUUUCUUAACUAAGUCUCCCUCCACUCUAUUUCGAUCUAUCGCUAAUUCCUUGCUAAACCUAAUUGAUUCCGAUUUUAUUGCCAUUUUCAGGGCGAACCACCAGCGGUUGUUAACGACGGCUCCCGUCAGCGCCCUCUUAAUUAACUCACUAAUCCGGUUCCUGUAAACCUGUCGCGCUAAGAGCGACGUGUUCAGUUUCCAGUAACCGGGACCCUGUCUAUGUGUCUUAUCUAAGUCGAGCUCACACGUCACAAAUUUGUGAUCUGUGUAGCUGACUAUUUUAAAUUGUGGACAUCCUACACUAUCCCUAUCCGCUGUCCUGCAUAGAAUUCUAUCUAGAUAAGAUCUCGACGAUCCGGCGCGGUUUGUCCAAUUCCACGUUGGCACGUUCGGAUGGUCGAGUCGGAAUCUGUCAGACAAAUGGAAACGUCUGAGUAGGUCUUUGAGGUACUUACACCCCCUUCUAUUCCUAUCCAUUCCCACAUAAUCUAUAUGCGUGUCCAAUGUAGCGUUCCAAUCCCCUACUAACAGUAAAGGUCUAGGCGUACCCAGGAAAAACUCUAGACGUCUGAAGAAAUCCGCCCGACCCGUUAAGGACGGUGCAUAAACUGCCAUCAGUCGGAAUGCACACCCAUUUCUGCCAUCCACGUCCAAGACAACCAGCCUACCCUCCGGGUCUAGGAAUAUUGUUCUUACUUUUACAUUUAGACUCUUUCGAAAAAGUACCGCGGUGCCUCCACCACCCAUGUUCGGCAGACAGGGAGAAAAAUAAAUGUCGAAUUGAUCGCCAAGCAUGGACGCGAGAGCCCGCGGCUUGCUGAGUCUGGUUUCACUGAUAGCUACUAUAUCCACGUUCAGUGAGUUGAUGUCGUUUAGAAGGUAACCUUGUUUCCUAGCCUACGCCAAGCCACGCGCAUUCACACAACCUAAUUUAAGCAUAAUUGACGUUUAAGGAAUUUAUGUUUCACACACUACAUUGGAAAAGACAAGAGGCAAGAGGGAAGGCCACUUACCCAUUUUGAAAGUUUCAGUUUUUUCUUCAUCUUUUGUAGUGUCUUUGAGGAGGUGUUUGAAUAGUUUUUUGGAGAGGUAUUUUUGAAACCCUCCUACUGCAUUUGGAAAUAUGGUUUUCAGUGUAUGGUGUUGUGUUUGUGUUAUGUGUAAAAUUCUUAUGUGUUUCGGUGGAGUGGUGCGCGUAUGGUUAUUUGUCUUAAAGUCAUCUUCGCAGAUGUUCGGGUUGGAUGCAAUGUAAUCCAUUAGUUUUUUAUUGUCCGUGUCUAUUGCUGUUAGUUGUGUGUGGGGUUUUGCGGGGUCAUUGAUUUUUUUUUUCUAAGGGGAUGCUGUCUGGAGUUAAAUAUCUCCCUGCUUUACUUCCUUGUUUGGUGGGCUUUUUUGGUCUUUUCCUUUUACCCCCUGUGGCUAUUUGCCAUUCCGUCGAACUUUCGUCGUUGGACGACGAGUCCGAAUCAGAAGAGGGUAAAGGCAAAGCGUUUGGAUAUAUAUAUGUGUUUGUAGAAGGUGUUGUUGUUUUGUGUGGUGGUUGUGUUGUUGGGGUAUUAGGGGCAGGAUUUGUCUUUUCGUCAUUGUUAUUUGUUUUUUUGGUUGUUGUUCUUGGUGCUGGUGUUGGUGUUGGUCUGUAUUUGAUGUUGGUGAUGUUGCUUCUUUUGUUGGUUGCGAUGUCGGAGGUAAUUCUCUUCUUGGUGAUGUGGUUGGUGAGGGGGAAGCAGUUUUUGUAUCGUCCGCUGUUUUUCCUGUCUUUUGGGUUGAAGGUGGUGUGGGUAGCGUGAUCUAGAUUCAAUCCUAAAAUGUGUAACUUUAGGCAAAAUUUAUCUCAGUAGCUUCCAGUUGCUCUGUGCUUUGUGAGUGAAGUAGGGUAGAAGGAAACUGCGCAGAAGCUGUUGGAAGGAAUUUACCAGGAGUUCACAGAUGAAGCAUCAUCACAUACCGUGUCAGGCUCUGUCUACUUUAAAAUUACGUUGUGCUCCGGACUGUGGAAUACUCAGCCAUUAACAUGUCAAUAUAACGAGUGUGUUAUGCAUUUGAUUGGGUAAUUGAAUACUCAUUGUCGAAGGUGGAGUAGAUACAUGUUCAUUACUAGACACGUCUGUCUGUGUAUGUUUGUGUCUGUGUGCGUGUGUGUACUCGUCUGCGUGAGUUUGUAUGUGAUUGUUUGUGUGUGUGUAUGUGUGUGUGUGUGUGUGCGUUUGUGAAGUUAUGUAAAGUGAUAGGAUUUCGUGGUGGAGUAAAUCAGAAGCUUCGACCGAAUAUAUAAUCUUAAUUUCAAUUGCAAUUUGUUAAAUUAAUUUUCUGCGUGCACUAACGUGCACAUAUGUGUGUGUGUGUGUGUGUGUGUCUGUGUGUGUGUGUGUGUGUGUGUGUGUGUGUGUGUGUGUGUUUGCAGGAAUGUAUGUAUGUUGCAACCAAAUACUGCUUGCUGCAUUAGGUGUGAACAAAAUUUUGUUGGAGUUAAAUGCAGUGUUGUGGUGAAAAGCGAUAUCGGUGCAUUACACGUAAAUUUCAUUAGUUGUGUAGAACCUGAUACAAGAUGUCUGUGAAGGAAGAAUUGUUCUUUUGGUGUAAGAAUGGAAUAAAAAUAGCAGAGAAUCAGUUGAGGUGACAACUUUAACAAAAUACUUUGCCGAUCAUCAUCAAGAUUGUUAUGUUAGCUGUCUUGUAACUAACAUGUCUGACUGUGUUUGUCUAAGUGACUGACGUGUACAGAUGUGUGUGUAUGGCUGUGUGGGUGCGUGCAUGUUUGUGUGAGUAUAUAUAAACUUGUGAGUAUGUGUAUGUAUAUAAAUGUAAGUGUGCAUACAUAUACACAGAUACAUAUACACACAUAUAUAUACAUAACAUGCAUAGUCAUAUAUAUGCACUGUGUACAUAUAAUUAUAUAUCUGUGAAAUUGAAGUGUGCGUCUGGGUGUAUAUGUGUGUAUGUGUGUGUGUGCGUGUGUGUGAGUAUGUGUGUGUGUGUGUGUGUACAACAUGUAUAAAAUUCAGUGAAUAUAUAUUUCAAGCUUAAAAAAUUGAACGGAACUUCAACUAGUAUAGUCAGUGGGAAAAUGAUGACUGCGGAUUUCUCAACAUGCACACGCGCGCGCGCACACACGUUCACACACACACACACGCACACGCACACGCACACACACACACACACGCACAAACACUCACGCACACGCACACACCCAGUGGACGCUACAUACUCACACAUACAAGCACACUACACACACACAUAAACGCCCACACUACAUGUUCAAACAUAAACCACACACACACACCACACCGUACAUAUAUACAAACACACACAUACCUCUCUCCCCCAUACAAGCGCUUAUAAAAGUUCUCCAGAAUAGGCAACUUUCAACCUUUGAAAGAAAUAUUUUGGAAUUGUGGAUGGCAGGGAACCAGGAAAGGAAAUACGAGAAAAUAACUUGAGGUAAUAUUGGUUAUAUUCCUGUAACAAAUAUCAUGCUGAUCAAUAUCGUGUUCCUUCUUGUUGGUGAUUUAUUUCUCUGCAUUGAAAAUAAUAGAAUUAUAUAUGAAGGCUGAAAUCUUGGAAGUUACUGUCGAUUUUUUCUUGAAGACAGCGUUAAUAGUCAUCUAAAACUUUGUUCUGAAACAUACGUAUAUUGAGGCCUACACCAGGUCAUUAGUCUCACAAUGCCCAAGCGAAAUAUUUAUAUACAUAUGUAAACACAUCCAUGAUAUCACUACACCAGAAGGAUUUGCUGAAUUCUGAUUCGUCUCCUGUGGUUGCCACUGUUCAUAUUUUUUCUGUCUUAUGAAAAUUUAUCCCGAUAUUAUGAAGUCUAAGAAUUUGAGAAUUAAAGUUUGAUGUGAUGGUACUAUGGUAUUUGGCAGAAGCGUUUUCAACCAUCCGUGAAAUUAUGUCUGAUCAUGACGAUUAUUACCUUGCUUGGAAACAAGUGAAGUUUGACGGCAUGAAGGGCAUCCGGUUGUAGAAAAUCAACCUUUAACAUAUUCCGUCAGACCCAUGCAAGCAUUGAAUAAAAUGCACGUAAAAUCGAUGGCAAUAGCGAUGUGCAAGAUCCAUUUCAAACAGAUUGGGAAAGUGUAUAGAGAAGGGAAGAGUGUACAACAGAAAUGAAGUCAUCCAGCAACAUUAUAAUGCCUGGCCACAUUCACUGAAGAUAUUCCAAGAAAAGGUACAAUCCUUUGCUGAGAACCUAUACCUCAUAAUCUCUACUUACCAAACCUUGCACCAGAUUUCCACUUAUUCAGAUCACUUGAACACUCUAGCAGUGGAAAGCAUUCAGAAGCAGAGACGACCGCAAAACGGUAUCCAAACAUAUUUUUUCAUCUAAAGCUCCUGACUUUUUACCAUAGAAGACAGAAACUAGUUUCAAAGUGGAAAAAUGUGUUUGCUAAUGAUAUUUUGAAUGAAUAACAAUAUUUAUGAUAUGGUUUAUUCCGAUUUGAAGUAAUACAAAAUAAAUUACUUCGCAGUAUUCCUAAAAUAGUUCCUUAUGAGCUACAUUAGAGGAUCAAGGGUUAAAAUUUUCCUGCUUAUGUGUUUAUCAUACUUGAACUUGCAGCUUGUAAAUGCUAUACAUACACACACAUAUAUUUGCCAUGAUAGAUCGCUAGCAUUCUUUAUUUUCUCUCCCUGUUUCUUUCUGUGUUCUUUUCUGUGGAAGUGCGUAGGCUCGAAACGUUAAAAACUUUUUCACUUCCCGAGCGUUAAACUAAUACAUCUGUUUGUUGUCUACACCACCUGACUUCGGCUUUUUUUGUGAAUUCUCCCUGUAUAAACACAGAAACAUACGCACAUAUACAUACACACGCAUAUAUAUAUAUAUAUAUAUAUAUAUAUAUAUAAACACAGAAACAUACACACACAUACAUACACACGCAUAUAUAUAUAUAUAUAUAUAUAUAUAUAUAUAUAUAUAUAUAUAUACAUACAUACAUAUACAUGCAUAUGGCGGGCUUCUUUCCGUUUCUGUCUACCAAAUCUACUCACAAUGCUUUCUGGUUGACUCGAGACUAUAAUAGAAGACCUUUUCCCAAGGCACCACGCAGUGGAACUGAACCCGGAAACACGUGGUUAGGAAGCAAGCUUCUUAUCGCACAGCCACGCCUGUGCCUACACACACACACACACGCGCGUGUGUGUAUAUAUAUAUAUAUAUAUACGUGUCUGUGUGUGUCAGAGAGAGAGUGUGUGUGUAUACAAUUUGUCCACCACCAUCAUCACUUGACAACCGGUAUUCGUUUACGUCCCUGUAACCUAGCGGUUCGGCCACAGACGCUGAUAGAUUUUUAACAAAAAAGUACCGGGCUCGAUUCUUUCGACUAAAAUCUUUUGAGGUGGUGCCCUAGCAUGGUCGCAGUCGAAUAAUUGAAACGAGUAAGAAAUGAAAGCUAAAAGAUUGUAACAGAAUGCAAGCAGACUGCCUUAUCUAUAGCAAGCACGUGCGUAGCUAUAGACCCACGUAAUUUCCUUCAUUGAAGGGAUGUCGGUCCGAAAUUUGAGCCUAUUUUCUUCUUCUCUUCCAAUUUGUUGCUGCCUGAUCUCAGAAAACAUUCAGAACCAAAUCAAAAGGAAUUACAACUUGUACAAUUAAGAAAGCCUCAUGAAAGGAUAUUAAGUUUAAAACAAAUAUAUAUUCGUAAAAUCUGCAGCUUCUGUGUAACCAUUUCUAAGGAUGUUUGGAUAAAAUAAAAUAAACCAAAACAGAAGGAAAGGAAAACAUACAAUAAAACAAAGUAGAUACGGCUGUAUGAUUAAAUCGUUUGCUUCAUAAUCACGUGAUUUCGGCUUUGCGAUUUCUUGUGCAAAUGAUUUCUGUCAUAUGUAGGCGCUGGUGUGGCUGUGUGGUUUCGAUUUCAGAUCCACUGUGUGGCACCUUAGGCAGUUGGCUUCGACUAUAACCUCGGACCUACCAAAGAAUUUUGUGAGUUGAUUUGGUUGACGGAAACUGAAAGAAGCCUAUCGAAUAUGUAUAUAUGUGUGUCAUUGUGUCAGUUUGUGCGAUUUGACAAAAGAGACCAAUAGAAUAAGCUCUAGGCUUUAAAAAAUCCUUGUGUCAAUUUGUUCGACUAAAAUCCUUCAAGGCGAUGCCCCAGAAUGGCCGCAGUCAAAUGACUGAAACAAGUAAAAGAUAAAAGAUAGUGUGUACAUUUGUAAGUGAUACAUAGACACAAGUAGGACCAUUGAAAUCAAGAACACAAGAUCCAACUCUAUUGCUCCCCGACUGCAAUUUCCUUUUAACGCUUCUAAAUAUCAAAAAUACCAGCACUACUGACUGCCAUUAGACCAUCUGUAUAAGCAAACGAAGAGGCUUGUCGAUGAAUAUUUGAACUGCAAAGCAUGCAGCCAGAUCUUCCUCAGUUAUUAUCCUAUCACCAUUUGUUUUUUUUUAUUUGUUUUUUUUUUUGCCUAUGGACCCCUUUGAUUUCUAUUUUACUCUGGUGGACCCCUAUAAAUUAAUGCAUCGGUUUUUAGUAGAACAAAUCGACCCCAAAACAUUUUUCAAAGCCUGUUACUUAUUCUAUCGAUCUCUUAUCCCUGUAAAUUAGAAGUUACAGGGAUAUAAACAAACCAAGACCGGUUGUCAAGCGGUGACUGGAGGACAAACACAGACACAAAAACACACCCACCCACACAUAGAUACAUACAUACAUAUAUAUAUAUAUAUAUAUAUAUAUACAUAUAUAUAUAUGGAACUGAAACAUGUUAUAAUGUGUAUAUAUAAAAAUUAAAAAUUGUAUAAUACAGCAGCAUUUUCGAACUUCAUUUUUUACAAAUAUAUAUAUAUAUAUAUACCGUUAAUCCUCAAGUAUAAUCCGCACUUUUUUCCCAAAAUUUAAAGGUCAAAAUCCCUAGUGCGUACUAUAUACGAGGUUAAAAAUGAAAGAUAUUUUCUAAGCAAUGUCCGAGGUUCUAUUUGCUAGGCCUGAAAGCAAUGAAGUCAUAAAAGAAUCAUCCAUAACUUGCAGUAAGCAACAUUUAAAAUAAAAAUAUUCAGAACACAGAAUAACAUGUAACAAAAACAAUUUGCAAACAUAUUUACAUUCCCAUAUAACAGUUAAGAACAUCACCAUUAUUGUAUUACGCAUGCGUGGAAGUGUUUGUUCGACUAGGCGCUGCUGGCUUAAUUACGCACGACUCAAGUUAGAGAAGGGGUGUGCAUUAUACACAAGGUUAAGGUUUUUCAGAGGUACAGCCCCCUAAAAAUCCCCUGCAUAUUAUACUCAAGGGCGGACUAUACUCGAGGAUUUAUGGUAUAUAUACAGACAUAUAUACAUUUAUAUAUAUGUAUAUGUAUAUAUAUAUAUAUAUACACAUAUAUAUAAAUGUAUAUAUAUGUAUAUACAGACAUAUAUACAUUUAUAUAUAUGUAUAUAUAUAUAUAUAUAUAUAUAUAUAUAUAUACGUAUGUAUGUGUGUGUGUAUAUAUAUCGACUCCUUCACCUGCACCUCCAGCAAUAUCAUCUAUUGCAUCUCCUGCUCUCUCUGCCAUUCCCUGUACAUCGGACAAACGGGACGCCGCUUGGCUGACCGGUUCGCGGAACACCUCCGAGACAUCCGCCUUGCCAACGACACACCGGUCACUCCUUGCAACACCUGUCUGUGUUCGGAUUGUCCUUGCACAGAGGCCAUCCGGAUUCCCGUUUGCGCCGUGAAGAGAGAUUAAUCUUCUCUCUUCGCUCUUUUACGCCAUUUGGUCUCAACUCUCCCCCUCUUUUCAUCUAACCACCCCCCUUUUUUUUCAUCUAACCUCCCCCCGACUCCUACUUCUCUUCAGUCCUUCAUCUUUUCACCCCUACUCUCUUUCCCUCCUCUUCCCUCCUUUCCCUUCUUCUUCUUCUUCUCUUCUUCCCUCUCUCUUUCUCUCUGCUCCCUCACUCCCCUUCUCUCCUCUCCUCUCCCACCUCCUCCUCUCCCACCUCCUCCUCUCCAUCUCCCCUCAUUUCCCCUCCCCUUCCCCUUCCUUCUCCUCUCCCCCUCCUUCUCCCCUCUUCCCACUCCCCCCCUCUCACUCUCCUCACAGCCCCCCUCUACCCUAACCCCUAGCCGAACCCACACCCCACAUGGGCUUUCCCCACUCUCGCCCCCACCUCCCCACAACAUCACACCACACUACACUACACCAUACGACAUUACACAUCACAUCAUACAUACAUACAUAGUCCAGACCACCAGCCCUCUUCCACAUGCACAUACAUACUCUCUUAUGCACACAUGCACCUUCAUGUUGGGGCGAGGUCACUUGACACUGUUAUCUCUCCUACUAUCCCUCUAGCGUCUAACGUCUGACCUCUAACGUUUGACCUCCGAUCUCUGACUUCUGAAAUCAGAACGCCAUGUUGGAUCGUUAGCCCCUACACGCAAUUUUUUCUCUCCUUGUUUCUUUUCUGUGUAUCUUUCUGUCGAAGAGCGUAGGCUCGAAACGUAAAAGACUUGUUUUAUUUCUAUUCCUGAGCGCCAUACUAAUACAUUGUGUGUUUGUACUCCACCUGCCUUCGUUUUUUGUUUAUUUUCGUAAACCUUCCCGUUAUAUAUAUAUAUAUAUAUAUAUAUACAUCCAUACACACACAUAUAUACGACACGUUUCUUUCAGUUUCCUUCUACCAAAUCUACUCACUAGGCUUUGGUCGGCCCGGGGCUAUAGUAGAAGACGCUUGACCAAGUUGCCACACACCCAUAACCUGCGCUUGCAUGUAUAAAUGUAUAUAUAUGUAUGUAAGCUUAUAUAUAUAUAUCUCUUAUUAUAAAAGGCAGAUUUUAUCUGCCUCCCUUUGGGAGUUAUACAAAUCUACAAUAUAGGAUUUCUUCAAUUACAAUUUACCUGGCAUUUUUAAGAGUACAAUGCAUCGCGUCAUGCCAGGUCCAGUUUUUAAAAUUUAAACUCCAAUUAAGCAAAAUUUACAGAAAACUCACAUUCUGGUGUGUGUGUCAAAUGCUUUUCUUAGUCUGGUUUACACCACACGCAAACGCACACACACAGUGGGCAACGAAUAAAAUGAAAGUAAAUAGCGGACAGAGUGAUUUGAGGAAGACUAAAGUGAAAGUAUUCUGUCUAUGACGAUGAUAGAUACAUGAGUAAAAUGUAUGGGAAGCUAAGAGCUAAGAGUGAGUGAAAAUGUUCUUGGAAGAGAGUAAUUAGUAAUAAAGUAAACAUACACUCAUACAUACAUACAUACAUACAUACAUACAUACAUACACACACACACACACAUACACACAUACACACACACAUACAUACAUACAUACAUACAUACACACACACACAUACAUACACACACACAUACAUACAUACAUACAUACAUACAUAUACAUACAUACAUACACACACACACAUACACACAGUAUUGAAGCUUGAGAACAAUCAGAUACAUUUGCAACACAUCUGUUGAAAAUAUUAUUGUUCACACACAUACAUAUACAUAUAUACAUACAGACAGACAGACAGACAGACACACACACACACACACACACACACACACACAUGAUCCAGCAUGGCCACAACCUCAAGGCUGAAACAUAAAAGAAUAACAGAAUAUAAAUGUGUGCAAAGUACAAGAAAUAUUAAUGCAGUAUAUGGGGAUUGGACAAUAAGCGUAAGGCAGUGUCAAUGGUGGUUCCAGAAAUCCCGAGCCAUAAACUACAGCCUAGAAGACGAGCCUCAUCCUGAAAGAUCUGUAGAACUCGACAAGGACAUCCUGAAAACCCUGGUGGAACAACAUAUCAUCGUAACUGUUGAGGAACUAGCAGAGAAGCUUGGAUUUGGUCAUUCAACCAUUCAUUGACACCUGUGUGCUAUAGGAAAAGUCAGCAAAUUGGGUCAAUGGGUUCCUCACGAACUUUCCGAGUCUAAUUGCAUGCAGAGAGUGAAUGUAUGCUUUUCUUUGCUGUCAUAUCUCACCACUACUGCGCUAUGUAUAUCUAUAUAUAUAAAACUGUAGUUGUGUGAGUGUCUGUCCCCUUCGAUUUAGAUUCCUAACUACUCCCACAUUUUGCGGUACAGUUUAACCAAAUUCGGGUAGCUUAUAGUCGUGAUUCAUAUCGAGCCCGUCUGAAUAUUAGCGCGCGUCUACGAUGAGUCUACGAUUUUAAAAAUAAUUUAACAUCAUUUUUUAUUCCAUUUUAAUGCAUAAUUUUUCGUGUGUCGAUGGCGGCGGAGUUGGCGUCCACGCUCACAUCUGCACCUGUGGGGAAGGAAGUGUAAGGAAAUCAACGUCGUAAUGCGUUGUCAAGGAGACCAGUGUUCUUUUAGAACAACGACUUCAUGGCUUCAAGACACCAAAACAGAAAUGGCUAAGAAAGCGUCUACAUGAGUCUACGAUUUAAAAAAAAAUUUACCAUCGUUUUUUGUCCAUUUUAAUGCAUUUUUUCGCUAUUAUAUAAGGGAAGUAACUCUCUAAAAAUGUCUACGAUGAGUCAACGAUUUUUCAAAAAAUUUACCAUCAUAUUUUUUCCAUUUUUAAUGCAUUUUUUGCUAUUUUUUGGCUAUAACUCUCUAAAAAUGCUUAUAUAGUUAUUUCCCUUACAAACCCGAGCAACGCCGGGCGAUACUGCUAGUAUAUAUAUACAAUGAACAACGUAAAAAAUAGUAAGAAAAGUCUCAUUUUCUUUAAUGUUGGGGUGUGGAUUAACAUUCUAAUGUGAAAACCCCUGAGACAAUAUCUGCAUAAUUCCGUAGACGUGGAGUCACACAACCCACCUCGUUACGCCAAUACACAUUACACAUAUGCUGAAACAGCUCUGAUGAAUUAGAGUUCCAUGCGUUUAUAUAUUCACACAUACAUACAUACAUACAUACAUACAUACAUGCAUACAUACCACUCAACUAAGAAUCUACUGCAUCUUAGAAACAGUUGUAAGCUAAUGAAAUUCAUAGCAUAACCUUUUUUCUUUCUUGUGCAUGCAUGCAUAUAGUGACAAUUUCCUGUCUAUGCUGUGUUUGUGUGUUGUGUGUAUGUAUGGAAUAGACUAUCUAUUAUGUAGACAAAAACUGUAGAUUUUCUCUCCCAUUCUCUCUUUCUCUCUCUCUCCACCCUCUACACACAGACAUACUUAGUAUCAAUUUAACAAGGAAGUGAAAUGAAGUCACCUGUUCCUUAUACAGAAAACUUGUAUGGAUGUUUCUUUAGUGGUUGUUAUUUAUUUUAUUUUUAUUUCGACUGAUACUGGGUUUCAUACACAUGUGUGGAAUUGUGCGCGUGUGUUUGUUUGUGUGUGUGUGUGUGUGUGUGUGCGUGCGCGCGCGCGUAUGUGUAUCACAGGAGCUUCUUCUUCUUUCGUCUUCUUUUUCUUCUUCUUUUCUUCUUCUUUUUCUUCUUCCUCUUCUUCUUCUUCCUCUUCUUCUUCUUCUUCUUCUCCUCCUUCUUAUUCUCCUUGCGUUGCGCCUGUGUAAGGAAUAGGACUGAAAUAAGCUGAAAGGACAACUUCCUCUUCAGUUAACUCUUCAUCGAAUACUUCAAGUCCCAUUUGGACAGGAAAUUCUAGCUGGAGAUGGAAGUACACACUCUCUCUCUCUCUCCCUUUCUCACUCUCUCUAUUUCUCUCUCUCUCUCUCUCUCUCUUUCACUCUCGCUUCCUCUCUCUCGUCUCUCAUUGAAUUUGUAAAAAGUGAGUUAUGGUGAAUGGAUGCUCUCUAUGCAUCUGCCUGCAGAUUAAAGAAUAACAGUUGGGCGAGAUGCCCUUGAUGGUCAAGGUUUUCCAAAAUCUAUGGGCUCUUUGCCUAACCCGAGCAGGAGGUUCUCCUGUAUCAGGAGGUCUUCAUCACAGUUGUUUUCACACAUUUUGAAUAAGAUAUAUAUAGUUAUCUCAUUUCAACAUCCUCUCCUUUCUUCCCCUACUAUUUCACAUGAACCCCCACACAAAUUGUAAACUGUUCUUGUAAUAUUCCCUUGAACUAAAGCCCCUCUAACAAAUAAAUUAAGAGCUGGCAGACUUGUCGUAAGAACAUUUUCCGUUCUGAGUUCAAAUUCCACCAAGGUCAACUUCACUUUCCAUCCUUUCGGAGUCGAUGAAAUAAGUACCAGCAGAGCACUGAGGUCGAUGUAACCGACUAACUCCCUCCCCAAAACUUCCAGGCCGUGUGCCAAAUUAGAAAUGAUUAUUAUUAUUAGUGCUGUUGUUGUCGUCGUCGGACAAAAAGAAACGUUUAAGACUAAUUUUAUGAUUUUUAUUGUUAUUUUAUCCAUUUCUUCAUCGCCGACAUUUUUAUGUCAUUCUUUUUCAGAUAUUGAAAUCUGACCUUGCCUGCGUUUAACUAAAUAUUCAAUUGAGCAUAGAUCCGGUUCAUGUGCAACCAAAUAGAAAAACAAAGCAGUAUAUUUUUUAAAAAUAACUUCACUACAAAGAACAAAGUAAAAAAAUAGUAAGAAAAGUCUCACUUUUCUUUAAUGUUGGGGUGUGGAUUAACAUUCUAACGUGAAAACCCCUGAGACAAUAUCUGCAUGAUUCCGUAGAUGUGGGGUCACCCAAAACACCUGGUCACGCAAUACACACUACACAUAUGCUAAACCACCUCUGAUGAAUUAGAGUUUCAUGUUUAUAUAUGUAUAUAUAUAUAUAUAUAUAUAUAUAUAUAUAAAUACAUAUAUGUAUACACACAUACACACACACACACAUACAUAUAUAUAUAUAUAAAUCUCACUCUCUCUCUAUGUAUGUAUAUAUAUAUAUACAAACAAGGACAGAAAAAGGGAUCAAGUCGAUUACAUCUACCCCAGUGCGUAACUGGUACUUAAAUUAUCGACCCCGAAAGGAUGAAAGGCAUAGUCGACCAUGGCGGAAUUUGAGCUCACAACGUAACGGCAGACGAAAAACGGCUAUGCAUUUCGCCCGGCGUGCUAACGUUACCACCUCAACGUGGUUGUUCUGCAUAGAACAGCGUUACAACGCUUUUUAACCCCAGGAGGACGCCUCCUCCAGCUGGUUAACGACACAAUAUCUGUGCCCGAUAUAUUGCAAACAAGGGAGCCCAUCUAGCGGCAACAGGAUCAGUAGACUAGCUGGUUUCAGGGACUCAGUCUUCCUCAUUUCUAUGCAGAACAACCACGUUGAGGUGGUAACAACCAUUACUUUUCAGCAGAGUUACUAUUUACAUUUAUAGAAAUUUUACAUCUAGCAACUUUGCUUGUUAUGUGUGUGUGUGUGUGUGUGUGUUUGAAAUAAGGUGUAUCGCCGCGUCACUAUGGCUGUUCCGUAAGAAUCGACGUUACUACCGGUUUUUACAGCAAGGAGGCUUCCUCCGGAUGGUUGCCGAUACAAUCUGCACCUGAUAUGUAUUGAAAGCAGGAGAGUGAAGCCCUACCAUCUCCUAGCAGGCGGUGGGAUCACCAGAUCUUACAGUUUCGGGUUAUUUGUGCCCAUCGUCAAUGGUGAACAACCGUCCGCUAGAGAUAGCAGUAAUUCGUCUGGUUUGCAAUGUAUAGACAAAAAAAUCAAGCGGCAAUCAGUCACUGAUCUUGCAACAAAGUAGCUUGUUAGAAAAUCUCAAUAAGAAAUGAGAGUAUCAACUAUACUGAGAAGUAAUGCUUAUCGCAACAUCAAUAUAGCUGUUCUGUAGGAUUCGACAUCUUUUACUAGUUGCAGUCAUUCUUCGACUCAUUUUUUUAAAACCUGUUUCUUAUUUACCGAUCGCUUUUAUUUAUUUAUUGUUUUGACGAACCGCUACGAUACUGAGACAAAUAUAAAGAAUAUAGAUAUGUACACACACACACACGUGUUGUUGACGUCUAAAGAAUUUUAUAAACAUUCGAGAGAAUGGGAACUAAUUCUUUUUUUUCUUUUCUUUUUAAAUAUCUCGAGGCUCACACAUAAAGCUGUGAAAGAUACCAUAUAAAGAAGGACUGAAAAGUUCCUUUGGAUAAAAUAGGACUGCAUUAUUAUUAUUAUUAUUAUUAUUAUUAUUAUUAUUAUUAUUAUUAUUAUUAUUACUAUCAUCAUCAUCAUCAUCAUCAUCAUCACCAUUAUUAUUAUUGCCGUUGUCGUCGUCGUCGUUGUUGUUGUUGUUACUUAAAACUGUUUCUUUAAAUUCCAUGCGACUUAAAGUUUCGCAGGCUUCUCACAGAAGCCUAGCUCAUUCAGUCUCAGUGUACCGAUUAGAGACAUACAAGAAGUUUAAGAUGGCUGCCAGAAACUGGAAUGCUAUUGGUCAUGGUAGAUCACUUGGAAGUAAAAUCGACAUUUCAGCAACACCCGGUGCAUUAGGAAGAAAUGGAUUGCGUGACAGGAUGGGAAACUAUUGCCGACUUGUAGUCCGGCGGGAGUUCGUGGAGGAAUUUUGAAAAGACAGGCUAGCAGUAAAGUGGUCGGGGAGGUUGUGUGUGUCUGUGUAUAUACCAAAUGUACGAGUGGGUGGAUGAACGUGUCGGAUGUCUAUGCGUGUGUUUCAGCUAUGCAUCUGUGUAAGCUGGCGUGUGGGUGAGAGGUAAUGGGAUCAGCUCGUUGGUGCAUAUAUGCGUUUGCCAUGGUGAGCGUACGUAUGGGAGCGGGCAUAUAUAUAUAUAUGCAUGCAUGCAUGUAUGUAUUUAUGUAUGCAUAUAUUGUCGUAUUGAUGCAUAUAUCAAACGAAAAAUGUGAUUUGAGGUAAAAAUAAAAACUGAUAUAAUAAUUGAUUCCAAUUGAAGAUUGUAAGUUCGACAGCAUACAGGUAAAUAUAUAUAUAUACCUGUAUGCAUACAUACAUACAUACAUACAUAUAUAUAUGUGUGUAUGUAUGUGUGUGUAUGUAUGUAUGUAUUAUGUAUGUAUGGAUGGAUGGAUGGAUGGAUGGAUGGAUGGAUGGAUGGAUGGAUGGAUGUGUAUGUAUAUGUACGUAUAUGUGUGUAUAUAUAAAUAAGUCAUAAAGAUGUACAGGUGUCAAAUCAUUGAAUUCACACUUGUACGUCUUACUUAUUUAUGUUCUGUUCACCUAACUUGGAACCUGCACUUUGGAAAUACUAUAAAAAGUACCUGAAUUACCAAGAGUGGAUAUCUUCACGUAGCUGGGUUGCGUUGUCUGCACACACGACAGUAAUAUUAGGUACAAAUAGCCAUACACGGAGUCUUGAUAUUCAGUAUUCAAUUAAUAUUGUUGAGGUGUGCAGAUUAUACCGAAUUAGCAAGGUGCCUCAAUUUAAUAUAUAUAUAUAUAUAUAUAUAUAUAUAUAUAUAUAUAUAUAUGUUGUGCAAGAUUGACUAAACUGGCAAAAUGACCAUUCCGAAAUACAACAAUAUAUAUAUCUAUCAAGAAACACAUUCAUACUGGUCUUUUCUGUUAUGUAAUGUACUCGUGCCUCAGUAAGCGGACCAGAUUACGUAAUAAAGCUCGGUUACUGAAGCA
rnacentral:lncRNA from 1 species